UAAAAGUAAGAGUUUGUCGGAUGUGGGAGUCGAUGAAUCCAAACACAGAAGAACAAUAUAGUCUUGACAUGAUAUUAAUGGAUGAAAACGUCAAUAAAUUAACUGUGAGUAAUAUAUGUUUGUUCCUUUUGCUUUUAUAAUAGUUGUUUUGUUCAUCAGGCAUGUUUGUUGUUGUUAAUUUUUAUACAGUUUACUUUGUAUAUAGGAAAAUAUUAUUAACGCAAC
rnacentral:lncRNA from 1 species